rnacentral:rRNA from 1 species
UGCCAGCCGCCGCGGUAAUACGGAGGGUGCAAGCGUUGUUCGGAAUUAUUGGGCGUAAAGCGCGUGUAGGCGGUUCGUUAAGUCUGAUGUGAAAGCCCGGAGCCCAACACCGGAAUUGCUUUCAAAACUGAUAGACUAGAGAAUGGUAGAGGAUAGCGGAAUACCUAGUGUAGAGGUGAAAUUCGUAGAUAUUAGGUGGAACACCAGAGGCGAAGGCGGCUAUCUGGGCCAUUUCUGACGCUAAGGCGCGAAAGCGUGGGGAGCAAACAGGAUUAGAUA